rnacentral:lncRNA from 1 species
UAAGAACCGAGUUGUGCUUGUCUUAUUACUUUCAGAUUAAGAACUGAGUUUCCAUUGCAUAUAUACACGCCGGAUUAAGAACCGAGUUGUGUUGCCUUUACAUGAUGUUAAUAAUAUAUUCUGUUCACAGGGUUUCCUGAUAAGCACAUUGUACCUGAAUCUUGUGGUAUCCAUGGUAGUGUAAUUAAUGUGAUAUCCACAAAUGAAGUGAUUUCCGUCACUUAAAGUAGGUCGCUGGUGAAAUUACGGUUUCCAAUAGAGCGGAGAGAGCAACUGUUCGGAAUGCCUAGCUGAACGAAUGCAUGCUACAGGCUGCGCGACAACCUUGUCAUGAAGGGCCAACUUCUGCGGUCGUUGCGCUGACAGCCACGAAAGAAGCCGUAUCACCGUGGCUUUCGUAUGAAGAUUUGAUAUGGUAAUGUGUGUUGUCUUAUAGCAAAAUUGGUGGCUAGUACACAUUGAUUAUUACCAUUUAUUAAUUUUAUCAUGUUGAUAGAAAAAAAAUAAUCAGCGGUUGUUAAAGGUCCUGCCAAGGAACAGCCAUGUAUUCUGCUUAAUAUAUAUUAAAAAAAAAAAAAAAAAAAAAAAUACAUGACAAUAUUUUGUAAUGUCUUGAUUGUCAUUGUUUAUUACUAAAUUAUUUAACGGCUAUGUAAGCCGGAUCUGUAAUUGAGAGCACCUACUAUGCCAAUUGUAAAUUAAUUUCUCGUAACCUUAUCAUGUUACUUGAACGACAGUUGUAUUGUACUGAUUCUAUCACCUACUGGCUUAGUUCCAAGGAAAAAUUAUCACGUUCUCGUUACAUUAAGGAACUUAGUAUUUCCCAUGUAUGUUACAGAGCUUCUUAACAAGAGCUUGUGCUGUGUUGGAAGGUGGCUAUGAUCACGCAUAGGGUGUGUCAAGUUAACCUCUCACGAGUUGUACGCCUUCUUGUGCAUGUGGGGAGCUUCACAGCCUACAGUGACGAAGCCAACUGUGAGUUUGUUCCAUGUAUUUGCUAUUUAAACGACGCCAAUCAUCAUUAUUAUAUUGAGCGGUUGGUUAGUUUGGAAUGCACCGCUCACGUAAGUCUUAACUUAAGGAUAAAUGGCAUAAUACUUGCCUGAAAAUAAAUGAAAUGUAUUGAUGGGUGAAGUUAUUUACAAGCAAAUAUUAGAUGGUGUUUUGUACACCAGUAAUUACCUGCCCGCCGCUAGAUGUCAUCUAUUUUACAUAAUUAAUUUGACUAAUAUAUAGUAUCGAUCAUGGCGGUAAAACAUGUACUUUUCGUACCAUCGCACCUUAAUAGUUUUAAAGCCUUACUGGCUGUGGAUUUGUUAAAUAAUGACCUGACUUACUUGUACUAGGCUAGUCUGGUCAUGCAAUCUUGAGUUUAGUUAUGUCAUUACUAUGAUUCGACUAUAAAAUGAGGCCAAUUACAUAUCUUGGUGUAAGUUAGUCUUAAACUACACCGGCCGUUUCCAACGGUUCUCGUGUUAAUCACUUCAAAGGACCAGGGCCUGAGUGUAUAGCUGGAGUAUACAAAGUUCUUGUUCACUUUGCAGAAAAGAAAAGAACAAAUGAACAGAUGAAGUCUACCGCCACCAGUUGGAGGCGCGGCCUGCUUCGGCUGCGUUGACUGCGGCAGUCAUCAAGUAGCAGCAUGGAUAGCAGAGACCUUCGGGACGAAAGGUCAAGGUCAGAAUGGGCGAAUGUAAGGACAUCACUAGUCGCUGGUCCCCAUCCCUAGGCAUCGCUGUCAACUGGGCGUCAGACUGACUGGAAGCUUCCAUUGGGAGCAUUUGUAACUCAGAUUGUAUUUUGAGAUUCCGUUCAAUAAACUGUAUAAUUAAUAGUGGUA